AACGUUCAUGUCCUCGCUGGACAAAUAAAAGAAAAAUGGCAGCUGAAAUUGUGAGAAGGGUCCAGCUGAGGGAAGGUGUGGUUUAUUAACCUGAGAAGAGGACAUGAGUGCAGAGGAGGAGCCCAGCUUUCUCAAUACAGCUUUCUUGUCAGGUAGCUUAAGUCUUUUGAACUUUCUACAGAAGAAGAUGUUGUUGUUGUGCCCACUAUCACCACAGAUACCACAUACCUCAUCAAGCUCUUCUUUCUUUGUGGUUUUUGUUGAAGCAAUCUUCCUGUCAUACGUCUUGUCUGAACGAUCUGAUUUCUCCAUUUUCUCCACAGUUCUGAGCUGUUCGAGUCUCUCUAGUAUUUCUUCUUGACUUUUCAGGAACUUCAAGAGCAUGUCAAAGUGGUUGUCUGAUGUGACAUUGUUUCUGGGUUCAAACAUGAACAUCAACCAGUCUCUUUUAAUAAAGUCAGGCAACUUA